rfam:Ornithorhynchus anatinus chromosome X1, whole genome shotgun sequence.
CCCCUCUCAGGAUCGCACCUGGAGGGUUUCCAGCAUUCUACUAGUCUCAGCUACAGGAGGGAGAGUCAAACAGAAGCCUACCCAUUCCAUUCCUAGCUUGGGCAGUGGCUGGAGAGUGGAAGGCAAUCUGCUACAAGU